CCCCUCACAGGAUCACACCUGGUGAGUUUCCAAUACCCUACCAGACUCAGCUUUGGGAGGGAGAGUCAAGCAGAGGCAUACCCAUUCCAUUCCUGGCUUGGACAGUGGCUAGCGAGUGGAAGGCAAUCUGCUAAAAGU
rfam:Ornithorhynchus anatinus chromosome 6, whole genome shotgun sequence.